GAUAAACGCUGGCGGCGCACAUAAGACAUGCAAGUCGAACGAACUUAACUCAUUCUUUUAGUUUGAGAGCGGUUAGUGGCGGACUGGUGAGUAACACGUAAGCAACCUGCCUAUUAGAGGGGAAUAACAGUGAGAAAUCAUUGCUAAUACCGCAUAUGCUAACAGUAUCGCAUGAUACAGUUAGGAAAGGAGUAAUCCGCUAAUAGAUGGGCUUGCGUCUGAUUAGAUAGUUGGUGGGGUAACGGCCUACCAAGUCGACGAUCAGUAGCCGGACUGAGAGGUUGAACGGCCACAUUGGGACUGAGAUACGGCCCAGACUCCUACGGGAGGCAGCAGUCGGGAAUAUUGCGCAAUGGAGGAAACUCUGACGCAGUGACGCCGCGGUAUAGGAAGAAGGUUUUCGGAAUUGUAAACUAUUGUCGUUAGGGAAGAGUACAAGACAGUACCUAAGGAGGAAGCCCCGGCUAACUAUGUG
rnacentral:rRNA from 1 species